rnacentral:tRNA from 1 species
GCCUGGGUGGCUCAGUCGGUUGAGCGUCUGACUCUUGAUUUGGGGUCAGGCCCUGAUCCCGGGGUCGUGGGAUCGAGCCCCGCAUCAGGUU